rnacentral:rRNA from 1 species
UACAGAGGUCACAAGCGUUGUUCGGAUUCAUUGGGCGUAAAGGGUGCGUAGGCGGCGCGGUAAGUCGGGUGUGAAAUCUCGGAGCUUAACUCCGAAACUGCAUUCGAUACUGCCGUGCUUGAGGACUGGAGAGGAGACUGGAAUUUACGGUGUAGCGGUGAAAUGCGUAGAUAUCGUAAGGAAGACCAGUGGCGAAGGCGGGUCUCUGGACAGUUCCUGACGCUGAGGCACGAAGGUCAGGGGAGCAAACGGG